AACUGCAUCUGACCUGUAUCUGCUCUAAAUUGUACUGUUGUGCUGUGUGUCCCACAGCUGAUCGCUGUAUACGAGGAACAUGAGGCCCAGCAGAGGGGAGCCAUGAGUCCCGGGAUUGGAACAGGGACAAGAAGCAGCCUAAAUGGACAGUCCAGCCCAGAACCCUACGAAUCUGAACUCACCUGCUUCCAGCCAAUCAAAGGAGGAGAGAUCGAAGUCAACUCAUCUGCCCUCAAGUCCAGUACUCCUCUGCUGGUACGGAGCAGUAGCGAUUCUGCGCUUGGACCUCCUCAGAUGGAAGAUGGGAAUUGCAGAGCCAUGAUGGACAGGAAACCUGCGGCAAGACACCAAACUUCAGCACAACCUGACAGAUAAAGCCUCAGUACCAAGAUGAAUGAGGUUAUCCUUUUUCCUCUGGGGUCGGAAGACCCCAAGCGUCUUACACCCCCAGCUGUCCCUGAAGGGUUAAGGGAACUCCCUCUCUUUCCGGGUGAGGGGAAUGUGAAGCGGACAGCGGAACCUCAAGAGUAUAAUGUGCUCACUCUCACACACCUAUAUCAGUGUUCUGGAACGCUCCACAAACAUUCCCAAACAGAGACUCUUCCUCCCUGUGCAACCUGACUCCUGUGCUUCAGCCUCGGUCUCGGUCCACAAGACCUUUGCUCUCUUCCUUUUGUUGGUUUGGCCUUCUUCCUUAGAUAUUCAUUACACAUU
rnacentral:lncRNA from 1 species